CUGGACCCUAAUCUACAAUGUCACCAUUGAGGAUCUUUGUAAAUUAUGCACCCUAGAUAGUGACAGAGACACAUUAAGGUAAUAAAAAGUUCAGCAUAAAGUUGUGCAUGGGUAAAAUACCGACUAAUGAAUAAUGCUUAAAUCUUCUAAGCUGCUAUGCUGUUUGUCAAAAAUGCACUAAUCAGAAACCCACUUUUUUACAGCCAUAUCUAUGGCUAGAGUGUGGAGCACAGAGUAUGAACAUUCAUAAAAAUAAUAAAAGUAUGUAAAGUUAUGGAUUAUCCAAUAACUAAAUACAGG